rnacentral:piRNA from 1 species
GUGUUUGAUGACUAACUUC